rnacentral:lncRNA from 1 species
UAGAUGAUUAUUUAUAGACUACAGCGAUAUAGGGGAUUUUCCCCAAGUGUUCCACGGCACAAGAUCAAUGGAUAGCAUUAUGCGUGGAAUAUUAGGUAACUUUUUAUUCUUCUCAUGUUAUAAAUGUAUAUCAAUUCUUGAUUAAUGUACACUGUCAAAUAUUAUGAUGCUAUUACUCAGAACAUUUAGUAUACAAUAGAUGAGUUCUACAAGAAAGGUGGACUGGGAUGAAGGGGUGGAUUUUGACUGCCACUGGAAAUUGAGUGUAAAUUGGAAGACAUGUAAC